GUGGCAGGUAGCCUAGUAGUUAGAGCGUUGGACUAGAAACUGAAAGGUGUCCCCGAGCUGACGAGCUGACAAGUUAUCUUUAGGUCCCGUAUAUCAGAUGGACAUCCACGCGUCUCGUGGCGCACACAGGCCUCCCAGUCCACCCGCACUUAUAGAUCAGGAAGAGCUUGUAGCUAAGGGAAACGGGAUGCUUCCGGCUCGGAGGGGGGAAACCCACCGCUGGACUGGUCUGCUGCCUCGUCACAAGGGACCCGGCUCAGAGGGGAAACCCAACGCUGGACCGGCCGCGUCUGCUGCCUCGUCACAAGGGACCCUCUGCACUCUUUCAUGCCGCUCGUGAUUCUUUGCUUUCUUUCUCCCUCUAUCCACACAGUGAUCGGUAUCGGCCCCUCUUUCAGGGCUGGGCCCUCUGGGGGUGGGGGGUGGUGGUGGGUUGGGCUUCAGCUUUACUAAAGACUCUGUGUUUCCUUCUGCCGUCAGAUGAACAGGGGAACUGUUAGUUUUGAAUCUGUGUGAAUGUUACCCAUGACUCUUCAAAAAUGAUAUAGGUGAUACUGUUGGAUGAAAUGAUUUGUACGUUCUGUCGUGAUCUAACCGUCCUCUAUUACAUCACGGAAACACAUUUCUUUCAAUAAAGACUCAAUGAAUCUA